GUUGGAGCCUAAGAAGGUAAAAUCUAGAUUUCCCGCUUGCUCCCUGCUGGUGUGAGUAGAGUGUGCUUGGGUCACAGUUCACUGUGAGGCUAGAGAGAACAGGCUUCUAUUGGGAUUUUUCCUGCAGUCAAUACCCAUUGGCAUUUCCAGGCUUUGCACCUCUUCAGCUCCAAGUCUGGGAUCCAUGCUGCACAAAGAAACCCAGGGACCUCACCACCAAGUGGCACCUUGAGCCCCUCCACUUCUUUUUUCCCAUGUGUCAGAAUAAGGGUCCUGGGCAGAAGUUUCCAGGCAGCAGCUCCCUCGCAGGACUUCUGCUUUCAGAAGCUAAUGUUCCACAAAGUCUCCCCAGGGCAAGAAGACAGAGGGCUGGGGUUCUGGAGGAGGAGGCCAGGAAAAAUUCCCCUGGUGCUCGGGGAGGAGGUGUGGGGUCUGCAGACCCCAGGUGAGCUCCUGUCUCAGGAAGGCACCGGGUCCACUCAGGUGACCAGCGUGCUGGGUACACUCAAGACGGGAGCACUGGCUUAGCAGCAUGGAGACCUGGUCCACACCUGCCUUCCAGAGACGGGCAGAGGAGCUGACUGGUCAAAAUAACCCUGCUCCUUGCACGAGGGAGUAAAAUCUAUGUGUGCUCGGGUGGAGUGCUGUGGUCAAUGUCAACCGUGCACACGACAGCACCUGCCAAAGCAUUAGAGGUUGUCCAGAUAUAACUCACAGUCUGUAUUGAGUGCCUACUGUGGCUAGGUGCAGUGUCGACGACGUAGGUAGCAAAGAAGUGUAAGAGCUUCGCAGGAAGAGAAGCUGGGAGAAGCAGAGAAUAAGGCAAUAAAGGGGUGAUCUAGAGAGAUUCCUCUGGAUUUUCACAUGAAUUGGCUUGGGCUCCCGAGUCCUGACUCCCUCGUCAGAACGUCUGUCUGUCCUGCUCAGGACCUUUCAGGCCGCAAGGUGGCUGAGGCCUACUUCAUGCUAAUGCAAGGUCAGAAGCGAGAGCACUUGAUCUCCUAACAGAGAAAGACGAUAAUAAUGAUGGUUACUUUUUUCUUUUUUACUUUUGCAG
rnacentral:lncRNA from 1 species